ACCGAGCGAGCGACCGGCGGCGACCGACCGGAGGCGAGCGGAGCUGCUGCGGGAGGGGCAGGAGGAGCGGAGCAUCUUACCGGCGGUAGGGGCGGAGAAUCUUACCGGCGGGAGGGGCGGGAGAGGCAGAGCAUCUUACCGGCGGGAGGAGAUGGAUCCCGCCUAGCUGCUCCCACAUCAGAUCGCCGACGUUCUUGCAGACUGACCGGCGCCGCCAACUACUUCCGUUCUGAUCUCCGAAGCUACUCUACAGUUGGAAGCUUUGGUUGGUAACCUAGAAGAUGCAACAUUUUCCAUCGUUAGACAGGCCUCGAAGUUGAACCUGUCAUCAGUACUUCGACGGGCAUCAAAUCGUUUCAGUUUCCAAAAGCCUUCGUAGCCACUGAUCCCGUCUACGUCUACUGUCGCACUUGUCGCUGCAAUUUCUACCAGUGAUGGCACCUGUGAUGUGUGCUCGCGACUGAUGUUGGUCAAAAGACUGUUUGUUGUUGACUGGUGUAACCUGUUAUGAUAUUUUGUAGUGUCAUGGUUGCUCAGAAGUUGCAAGGUUCACAUGUUAUGUUGUAUGUGAUGAGAAUUGUGACAACAUGAGUUCCUUUUCCACUGUACCUGGAUUUUGGACUUUCAGUCUCACUGUCGUAUUGGACCUGAUACACAUGGAUGGACAUAGUGACAUAAAGGUUCUUUAGUUCAGAUUUUAAGGUCAGUGCCGUGUGGCCAGUGACGUAAAAAUUUAAUCUCUGCUACUAUAUGUUGGUUUGGCUUGUUGAUUUCAAUUUCCGUUGUGUGCA